AGAGUUUGAUCAUGGCUCAGGAUGAACGCUAGCUACAGGCUUAACACAUGCAAGUCGAGGGGCAGCAUGUUGGUUGCUUGCAACCAAUGAUGGCGACCGGCGCACGGGUGAGUAACGCGUAUCCAACCUACCCUUGUCCAUCGGAUAACCCGUCGAAAGGCGGCCUAACACGAUAUGCGGUUCUCAGCAGGCAUCUAACGAGAACGAAAUGUGAAGGAGAAGGAUGGGGAUGCGUCUGAUUAGCUUGUGGCGGGUAACGCCACAAGGCGACGAUCAGUAGGGUUCUGGAGAGGAACGGUCCCCCANAUUGGAACUGAGACACGGUCCAAACUCCUACGGGAGCA
rnacentral:rRNA from 1 species